rnacentral:rRNA from 1 species
UACGGAGGGGGCUAGCGUGGUCCGAAGUUACUGGGCGUAAAGCGCGCGUAGGCGGGUUGGUAAGUCCGCUGUGAAAGCCCGGAGCUUAACUCCGGAGGGUCGGUGGAUACUGCCAGUCUUGAAGGUGCUAGGGGGAGAUGGAAUUACCGGUGUAGCGGUGAAAUGCGUAGAUAUCGGUAGGAACACCAGUGGCGAAGGCGGUCUCCUGGGGCAUUCUUGACGCUGAGGCGCGAAAGCUGGGGGAGCAAACGGG